UACGGAGGGUGCGAGCGUUAAUCGGAAUUACUGGGCGUAAAGCGUGCGUAGGCGGUGUUUUAAGUCAGAUGUGAAAGCCCCGGGCUCAACCUGGGAACGGCAUUUGAAACUGGGGCACUGGAGUUGGGUAGAGGGGAGCGGAAUUCCGGGUGUAGCGGUGAAAUGCGUAGAUAUCCGGAGGAACACCAGUGGCGAAGGCGGCUCCCUGGACCCAAACUGACGCUGAGGCACGAAAGCGUGGGUAGCAAACAGG
rnacentral:rRNA from 1 species